GGUUAAGCGACUAAGCGUACACGGUGGAUGCCCUGGCAGUCAGAGGCGAUGAAGGACGUGCUAAUCUGCGAUAAGCGUCGGUGAGGUGAUAUGAACCGUUAUAACCGGCGAUUUCCGAAUGGGGAAACCCAGUGUGUUUCGACACACUAUCAUUAACUGAAUCCAUAGGUUAAUGAGGCGAACCGGGGGAACUGAAACAUCUAAGUACCCCGAGGAAAAGAAAUCAACCGAGAUUCCCCCAGUAGCGGCGAGCGAACGGGGAGGAGCCCAGAGCCUGAAUCAGUGUGUGUGUUAGUGGAAGCGUCUGGAAAGGCGCGCGAUACAGGGUGACAGCCCCGUACACAAAAAUGCACAUAUUGUGAGCUCGAUGAGUAGGGCGGGACACGUGGUAUCCUGUCUGAAUAUGGGGGGACCAUCCUCCAAGGCUAAAUACUCCUGACUGACCGAUAGUGAACCAGUACCGUGAGGGAAAGGCGAAAAGAACCCCGGCGAGGGGAGUGAAAAAGAACCUGAAACCGUGUACGUACAAGCAGUGGGAGCCUCUUAAUGGGGUGACUGCGUACCUUUUGUAUAAUGGGUCAGCGACUUAUAUUCUGUAGCAAGGUUAACCGAAUAGGGGAGCCGAAGGGAAACCGAGUCUUAACUGGGCGUUAAGUUGCAGGGUAUAGACCCGAAACCCGGUGAUCUAGCCAUGGGCAGGUUGAAGGUUGGGUAACACUAACUGGAGGACCGAACCGACUAAUGUUGAAAAAUUAGCGGAUGACUUGUGGCUGGGGGUGAAAGGCCAAUCAAACCGGGAGAUAGCUGGUUCUCCCCGAAAGCUAUUUAGGUAGCGCCUCGUGAAUUCAUCUCCGGGGGUAGAGCACUGUUUCGGCAAGGGGGUCAUCCCGACUUACCAACCCGAUGCAAACUGCGAAUACCGGAGAAUGUUAUCACGGGAGACACACGGCGGGUGCUAACGUCCGUCGUGAAGAGGGAAACAACCCAGACCGCCAGCUAAGGUCCCAAAGUCAUGGUUAAGUGGGAAACGAUGUGGGAAGGCCCAGACAGCCAGGAUGUUGGCUUAGAAGCAGCCAUCAUUUAAAGAAAGCGUAAUAGCUCACUGGUCGAGUCGGCCUGCGCGGAAGAUGUAACGGGGCUAAACCAUGCACCGAAGCUGCGGCAGCGACACUAUGUGUUGUUGGGUAGGGGAGCGUUCUGUAAGCCUGUGAAGGUGGCCUGUGAGGGUUGCUGGAGGUAUCAGAAGUGCGAAUGCUGACAUAAGUAACGAUAAAGCGGGUGAAAAGCCCGCUCGCCGGAAGACCAAGGGUUCCUGUCCAACGUUAAUCGGGGCAGGGUGAGUCGACCCCUAAGGCGAGGCCGAAAGGCGUAGUCGAUGGGAAACAGGUUAAUAUUCCUGUACUUGGUGUUACUGCGAAGGGGGGACGGAGAAGGCUAUGUUGGCCGGGCGACGGUUGUCCCGGUUUAAGCGUGUAGGCUGGUUUUCCAGGCAAAUCCGGAAAAUCAAGGCUGAGGCGUGAUGACGAGGCACUACGGUGCUGAAGCGACAAAUGCCCUGCUUCCAGGAAAAGCCUCUAAGCAUCAGGUAACAUCAAAUCGUACCCCAAACCGACACAGGUGGUCAGGUAGAGAAUACCAAGGCGCUUGAGAGAACUCGGGUGAAGGAACUAGGCAAAAUGGUGCCGUAACUUCGGGAGAAGGCACGCUGAUAUGUAGGUGAAGCGACUUGCUCGUGGAGCUGAAAUCAGUCGAAGAUACCAGCUGGCUGCAACUGUUUAUUAAAAACACAGCACUGUGCAAACACGAAAGUGGACGUAUACGGUGUGACGCCUGCCCGGUGCCGGAAGGUUAAUUGAUGGGGUUAGCGGUAACGCGAAGCUCUUGAUCGAAGCCCCGGUAAACGGCGGCCGUAACUAUAACGGUCCUAAGGUAGCGAAAUUCCUUGUCGGGUAAGUUCCGACCUGCACGAAUGGCGUAAUGAUGGCCAGGCUGUCUCCACCCGAGACUCAGUGAAAUUGAACUCGCUGUGAAGAUGCAGUGUACCCGCGGCAAGACGGAAAGACCCCGUGAACCUUUACUAUAGCUUGACACUGAACAUUGAGCCUUGAUGUGUAGGAUAGGUGGGAGGCUUUGAAGUGUGGACGCCAGUCUGCAUGGAGCCGACCUUGAAAUACCACCCUUUAAUGUUUGAUGUUCUAACGUGGGCCCCUUACCGGGGUUGCGGACAGUGUCUGGUGGGUAGUUUGACUGGGGCGGUCUCCUCCUAAAGAGUAACGGAGGAGCACGAAGGUUGGCUAAUCCUGGUCGGACAUCAGGAGGUUAGUGCAAUGGCAUAAGCCAGCUUGACUGCGAGCGUGACGGCGCGAGCAGGUGCGAAAGCAGGUCAUAGUGAUCCGGUGGUUCUGAAUGGAAGGGCCAUCGCUCAACGGAUAAAAGGUACUCCGGGGAUAACAGGCUGAUACCGCCCAAGAGUUCAUAUCGACGGCGGUGUUUGGCACCUCGAUGUCGGCUCAUCACAUCCUGGGGCUGAAGUAGGUCCCAAGGGUAUGGCUGUUCGCCAUUUAAAGUGGUACGCGAGCUGGGUUUAGAACGUCGUGAGACAGUUCGGUCCCUAUCUGCCGUGGGCGCUGGAGAACUGAGGGGGGCUGCUCCUAGUACGAGAGGACCGGAGUGGACGCAUCACUGGUGUUCGGGUUGUCAUGCCAAUGGCACUGCCCGGUAGCUAAAUGCGGAAGAGAUAAGUGCUGAAAGCAUCUAAGCACGAAACUUGCCCCGAGAUGAGUUCUCCCUGACUCCUUGA
rnacentral:rRNA from 1 species